rnacentral:rRNA from 1 species
UAAGGAAUAUUGGUCAAUGGAGGCAACUCUGAACCAGCCAGGCCGCGUGAAGGAUUAAGGCCCUCUGGGUUGUAAACUUCUUUUAUAUGGGAAGAAAUGUACUUUUUCUAAAGUGCUUGACGGUACCAUAGGAAUAAGCACCGGCUAACUCCGUGCCAGCAGCCGCGGUAAUACGGAGGGUGCAAGCGUUAUCCGGAUUUACUGGGUGUAAAGGGCGCGCAGGCGGGAUAAAAAGUCAGUGGUGAAAUCCUACAGCUUAACUGUAGAACUGCCUUUGAUACUUUUAUUCUUGAGUUCGGGAGAGAGAGACGGAAUUCCAGGUGUAGUGGUGAAAUACGUAGAUAUCUGGAAGAACACCAGUUGCGAAGGCGGUCUCUUGGUCCGACACUGACGCUGAGGCGCGAAAGCGUGGGGAGCAAACA